rnacentral:rRNA from 1 species
CCUACGGGUGGCAGCAGUGAGGAAUAUUGGUCAAUGGGCGGAAGGCUGAACCAGCCAAGUAGCGUGCGGGAUGAAGGCCCUACGGGUCGUAAACCGCUUUUGCACGGGGAUAAAACCCUCCACUUGUGGAGGUCUGCAAGUACCGUGCGAAUAAGGGUCGGCUAACUCCGUGCCAGCAGCCGCGGUAAUACGGAGGGCGCGAGCGUUAUCCGGAUUUAUUGGGCUUAAAGGGGGCGUAGGCGGUCGUGCAAGUCAGCGGUAAAAUCGCGCGGCUCAACCGCGCCCCGCCGUUGAAACUGGACGCCUUGAGUGCACAACAGGCAGGCGGAAUUCGUGGUGUAGCGGUGAAAUGCAUAGAUAUCACGAGGAACCCCGAUUGCGAAGGCAGCCUGCCGGGGUGCGACUGACGCUGAGGCUCGAAGGUGCGGGUAUCAAACAGGAUUAGAUACCCUUGUAGUC